GUGGGGGGUGAGGACAAGUACAUGUGGGAGGCAGGAGACCAAGGGACAGAGAGGCCAAGGUGGGCACGCUAGGAAGGCAGAAGGAGCCCAUUUUCCCCAACUUGAUGUACUGACUCCUAGAGGCAGGUGUGUUCUGUGGUGGUGAAGAAUGGACUGAAAGUCCUGUAAUUGGAAUACUAUAACCCGCCCUGAGGCCAGGCGCACCAAGUGAACUGCUUUCAGGUUGUAUUUCCGGGCUGGCCAGGCGAGGCACACACAUGAGGGUCCUGAAAGCUGCAAGGCUCAGUGGAAAGAACGGGACACAGGAUCUCCCGCCAGAUGAAGGGAAAGGAUGAACACAAGAGUACUGACAACAAAGAAGACUGGAGGUGACUUUUGUGAGAACACCCGUAACAGUGAGAGCAUCCCUCCGUAUGAACUGGGAAAAGGAAGAGGUGCAGGGGGCGUGGGAGUGCAGGGCAGCGCCCCCUGAGAAGAGGAACGGGCCUUACUCGCAUCUGCUGGUUAGCUCGGAGCCCCCUGCGGCGGAGGCCAAGGGGCCUGUGAAAAAACCAGCUGUCCCACGGCCACAUUCGAUGAUAUGUGGAAGGGAGGAGGUGGAGCAUUACCCUCUAACGUGAGGCUACUUCUCCCGAUGCAGCAGAGAUUGAAAUGUCACAGCAGCAUGAUCAAUUAGAUGAUGUAGAAGAGAGGCAUUUGCUACCUGACCUUAAUCCACAGGGCAAGACUAACUGCAUGGAGAAGACUGAAUACGGAGAGACUGCAAGGCAGAGGAAAGCAACAGAGUAGAGUUUAAACGGGCACAAAGCAGCAUAAAUGUUGACUCAUGAUGAAAAGGACAUCCUCAGGAUAAAGGCUUAUUAUGACAUGCAUUGGUGCACUUACUCGUUCAAUUCUGAGUGAGGACAAAAUAAACAUAAACAUCUCUAACAAAAAAAAAAUAUAGUAGAAAAGGAAGCAGGUAAAUUUUUGCAAAAAGUCUAGAUUUUAGAUCACGUAGCUUGCUGAACCAAAGUGACAGGGAGAAAGAAAGAUGCCAACGAUACCCAUGCCGUCAGAUGUUGGCAGUGGGAAACAUGACUAAGGGACCGUGAUAGCUGUCUUCCUCUCUUUAAAGCCCUAUCCUCAGAAGGAGGGUUAGACACCUUGUGGUGGGAAUGACAGAGGAGGGGUGUGACUUACUGUAAGGAAUGGCUUCCCAAUAUUUGGAACCUGACAAAGGUCGCUGGAGCAGCCCUGCCCAGCUCCCCUGGGGCUGCAUCAAUGGAUAACCGUGGUUGUAGAGGGAUUCUUGCAUUAAAUGAGAUGACUUCAAUCACUCCCUAAUAUGCCCGCUCUGGAGCUUUGCACCCCCUUGGGGAGGUCUAUAAUGGUUUUGAAGCUUGUUGAGGAACAGAACUAAAUGAACUUUGGAGCUGCUUAGGCUUUGAUAGAAUCAGUCCUUCUCGGCCGCAUGUGUGCACAUCAUGGGCCUGGGAAUGGUUGCGAGUCUAUUUUGAUUAUGGACAGCUGGUGUUAGCUAAGGGCUUUAUCAGAUUAGUCAUCCCUAGUAACAACGAUAUGAAGCGUUUCCCCCUGGAUUAUUAGUCGAGAUCUGUUAUGUUUACUCUUUUAGUUUUAUACUUAUUUUUCUUUUCCAUUUAAGCACAACUCAGUGUAAAAGGGUUGUAGUUGGGAAUCUGUUUCCCCAAAUCAGUGACUAUUUGUUUCUAGGAUCCAUUUGGUUGUUUCUAUUUGUGGAGUUCCAUUGUGAGACAUCAAUUUACCGUAGCUGUGGAAAAUUAGCAGGAGGUUCAGAGGAAAGCCAUGGAAAUGAUGAGGACCAGGAAAAUGAAAUGCAACAUGUAUCCUGGGGAGGUGAGGUUGAGGAUAAUGUUUACGCUUGUUUGCAUGUCACUUUCCCUCGCACAGCUACUCAAAUACAUACAUGUUGAUUAACUUGUGUAGGGCUUGUGUACAACUGUGGUCUUCUAGUUUACGAAGGCUAAUGGGGACGAUGUUUUCUAUUGAGACCCGGGUAUGAGCUUCAGGAUGAUCACAUAGUGGGUACUCCAUAUUUAACUCCAUUUAUAUUCAUUGGAUUAAACUGAAUUCAAUGUUAGUUUCAAUACAGGCAUCCUGCUGAUAGUAAAGGUCAUUAAACUUUAAAAUGUGUUCUCAAGGAACACUGUGGCAUCUUCAUUUGAGAACAUCUUUUAAAUUGGAUAGCUAAUUAUCUGUUUAGAAUAAAAGCAGAGAAAUAGUUCUGAGUACUUCAUAAGGACUCAUACAGUUCUUGAUUUCAUUUGUGUGCUUUGCUUGUGUGUAAGCAAAGCAUUAACUCCAUAACUCAGGGGUGAAAUAACACAUGCAUAAAAGAUGAGUAGGUAGAAAGAAACCCCUUAUUUGAAAUCAUUAUUUUUAUCUAAUCAAAAAGUAUAUAAUAGUCCUAGUUCCGCACUAUCAAAUUUCCUCAUAAAAAAUGAUCACAUAUGUUCCUGAGAGUGCCCAACAUGUAUUACAAACCUACUAUUGUCCCCAGGAGAAAUUGAUUCUGGGAAAGAGAAGAUAGAAUAAAACUUUGACUUUUCUUGAAAAAGUAACUGCAUGGAGGACAUAUUGUUUCAGAACAAAUAAUGCCAAUAAGACUUAAUAGUUUCAAGCUGGAAGAUGGUUAUCGUUGUACCACUGGAGAAACUUUCUGUUCUUCUUUUUCUGGUUGAUGGAUACUAUGGUAAACAUUUCAGAGAAGGCUACCUCUCCAAGAUACAUUAUCUCCCUUCUCCUACUACCUCCAUUCUCAGCCAGGAAGUUUAGGUGACAUUGACCCUCCCUCCGGGUAUAUGAUUAGGUGGCUCUGAUUGGUUUAGUCUAAUUGGCACAUCCCAGUCUUCCUGUCCCCAUGGGAAGAGCAUGUGACACAAUCUGGCCAAUGAGAGUGUGAAUUCCAGAAGAGAACUUCUCUUCUGGCUGGUGUGGGGAAGAGAUGUGAGGGCUGACACUGCUGCAGCCAUUUUGCUACAAGGAGGGAGAGCCCAGAUCCUGUGAGAUGAAACUUCUAGCUCUCUGUUCUUUAGUUUGCUCAUCUUUAAAAUGAAGAUGAUAAUAGUACUUUCCUGUAGGUUUGUUGUCGAAAUUAAAUUGUUUAACUUAUAUAAGAUGUUUAGGAUAGUAAGCACCAAUAAAUGAUACUUAUUAGUAGAUAUAGUAUAUUUCCUCUAUUUUAAGGAAAAAAAAAACAUCAUUUCCCUUCCCUGAGCUCAAUAAUGUUUUAGACCUGAGCUGUUUGGUUAAUUGUAUUUAAUUUCAUAAAUUCUUUCUUUUUUAAGAUUUUAUUUAUUUAUUUGAUGGAGAGAGACACAGUGAGAGAGGGAACACAAGCCGGGAGAGUGGGAGAGGGAGA